CGAGCCACGGUGACCGCCGGUGAAUUAUCUCUGGCUAGGUUCUGGCUAGGUCCGCGGAAUCGCGACACGUCCGAAGCUAUCUCCCCGUGGUCGAUCCUUACCCCAAAUCACUCGAACACAUCCGAUUCAACAAUGCCCCUGAUCUUUGUCCUCGCUUUUUAGAUAUUUCGGUGUUCUGAUCUUCAGCGCUUCUAUGAACCGACCCCCUUUCACCCUCCUUUUCUCUUGAUUUGUGUUAAGAACAAGGUGAUCUCCAUUAAUAAAGAUUCUUUACUGAACAACAGUCUUCAAACUUACUAUAGGAUCCUUGGACCAAAACCGAAUGGAAUCAAAGAUAUGGUGCUUCCAAUUCGGUCCCAUUACACUGUUACCAUUCAUGUUCUUGAAUUCAGUCUUCAGUAAUACUUCAAUAGCUCGACAUGGUUCUGACAGAGCAACUUCGGGUUGUUGUUUCUUUAAUUUUUGUACAACAACUAGAGAAGGUGUCUGUACUAAAGUUACUCCCCUAUAAUCCUACUUUAAUCUUGCUUCUAGGAAUUGGAUAGUUUUAACUCUGUGCGUGGGAUAGAACAGUCUCGUUUUUAGUUGGCCC
rnacentral:lncRNA from 7 species